rnacentral:lncRNA from 12 species
UGGACACCACAUCUGUUCCUUUGAACAUCACAACUACAGAGUCAGAAGAUUGAUUCUAAAUCAGGUCAUGUGGUUAUGAGUAACAUUGCAAAGACCAUUCAACAUC